AAUCACGUGCUAUGCACGUGAGUAUGGAUGCCCGUAAUUUUGAAAAUUUUAACUAAUGAAAAACUUAGCGGGUUGUAUUUUCACCCUCACUCGAAUCAGGCUCCCAAAUUCCCUUAAAUUCCCUAUUAAACUACCCAUCCACUAUUCUGCUCUCCUCCAAACCUGGACUCCAUCAUCACCGACAAAAAAAAUCAUUCCUUUUUGGUUAGUUUUUGGGUUUUGCUUGCUAAACUUCAAGGAAUUUAGGGGUUUUUGGAUCGUCAAUUUCAUAAAUUUCAGGUAUCAACUUACAAUUUGCUAUACAAUAUUGUUUCUCGGUAUAUAUCUAUCGUUUUUGGUACCUAAUAUCUCACAAUUCUCUAAAUUUCGUUAAAAUUGGGAAUUAUUCUUUGCAUGUCUUCGAUUUUGAGUUAGUGUAGAACAAGAAUCGAUCUCUUAUUGCGAGGUAAUUUUUUGCCCUUAAUUAGAUAUUUUAAUUUCUUUUUAUAUUGUUUUUUUUUCGUGAAUUCUGUUUUCAAAUCCAAGGUUUCCAUGUUUUUUUUUUUUUUUUUUAUAUUUUAAAGUAGUUUUUUGGUUUUUGUUAUGAUUUUUAUGGCGUUUUUUUAGGGUUUUAGUUUGGAAUUUUAUGGGUUUAUGAUAUGAAUUUUACAGGCUUUGAAUUUUCCGGUUUUUGAUAUGAAUUUUAUGGGGUUUUGAUAUGAAUUUUAUGGGUUUUUGAUAUGAAUUUUAUAGGCUUUGAAUUUUAUGGGUUUUUUUAUAUGAAUUUUCUUUUUUUUUGAAUUUUAUGGGUUUUUGAUAUGAAUUUUCUAUGAUGAUUUGGUGGCUGAUGAUUGCAUUUUGUCUUCACAUGCUUUGCUCUUAGAAGCAAUACUCAUUCCCAUAUAAAUACUCAUUCCCAUACAAAUCAUUAGACAACAACCCCAAUACUCAGAUUUAUUUUGAAGAGUACAGCUUGUAAGAAAUUUGGAUUUGCAUCAUAUCUUUAUUUGUGGUUGUUUUUAUUUGUUUCACACAAGUGAUCAUCAGUGGUAAUAUUUUCUUUGCCUUAGAAUCUUAGACCGAAUAUGAGAUUAUGUGCUUUAUGUAUGCCUUUUAAGCUUGCUAUGGUGUUCUAGUUCCUUAAAAUCCCAUUUUAUGUCUUUUAAACUUUAUUUACUUUUAUUAUAGUCUUGUAUUGAAUUUAUUGGAACAAAUAUCUAUUUUUUUUUUAUAUGCCACAAGAACUUUCAGUAAAACACACACCGGAAAUCAGAAAGAAGUUUUACAAACUACAGGUUAAAUACAAGAAAAUCAAUAAUUACAUGGAAAAGAACAAGUAGUACCACAAAGAUGAUCCCAACAGCCAUAGCACUGCUAUAGUAAAAUAUCAAAGACUCACUGAAUGUGGAAGCCAGUGUAAGCAAUAACGUACCCAGGUUUAGAAACACAACGCAAUGUGCAGAGAAAUCUGAAAAACAAAUGUAAAACAAGAUAUGAUGAAUCAAGUCUUAUUGUUAAGAAUGUAUAAGUUUGUUUGUUGGUUAAGAUGAUAUGUAUAUUGCUGAAGAUUUGGGUUGAGUUCAUAAUGAAGGUUGUGAUAAUUAGCAGGUGUGAAGAUCAAUUUAAGUUGAAAUACAUUUACAUAGUAUAAUUUAGAGCUUGAUAAAUGAUAAUGCAUGAAACUUGUGACACUGUUAUAAAUCGCUCACGCACUACUGCGGUACUGCCUCCCCUAGCCUUGUUCUCUUUCAUUACCCAUAUUUUAGCUCUUAUUUUGGACCAAGAAGUUUGAGUCUUUAUAUGUGGUGGUGGAUUGCCAUAAGGAGCCUGUAUGUAUGAUCUAACAUUCUAAUCCAGCAAUUUCAUUUGCCUAGAAACCAAUAGUUCCUACGGAGCUGUACUAAAAAGUGCGUGACUCUCAGCUUGUAGGACUUUCAGGCUACUCAAAAGAGGUAAAAGAUGACUUAUCGAAGCAAGAGAGAAAGCGAAAUACUUUCUACCACAGCUAAGUCACAUGAUCCACUGUCAGCACAGUCACCAAUUACAACUAAUGCACAUACUUCAUCUACUACUGAAGUUGUUUCACAACCCACCAAAAAACAAUCUACUAAGUCACCACAUACUGAGGUACUUAAGGAUGAAAAAUGGGGACCUCUUUCUCCACCCAUUACCACUACAAAAUCUGACCAGCAACCACCUAAUAGUGUAGGAUCCAUUUGGAAAAACCCUCAUGGUUCAACAUCGAAUUCAGUCAAAAAAGCUGCUACAUCAGGUUAUCAGAAAAAAUAUCCAGCAAAAGUCUCACCUAAUAUCCCACCUAAUAUUCCACAAUCAAGUAGACCAGACUCAUCAUUGAACUCCCUUUCUACUUCUCAUAAACCUCUCGAGCAACCUGUGAGACGAGGAAUUCAGAACCUUGAGACUGGUGCUGUUAAAACUUCAGCAACAACUCCACAGACUAAUCAAGAAUGACAAAAAAGUGGAAAAGAAUCAGAAAAGAUCCCGAAACAAUCUAAGUCUUUACGACCAAGAGCACUUCCGGAUUGGCCUCUAGACAUAGAUUUUGACGACAAGGAGGAGGUUCUAACCAUAGAUGCCAAUGGUAAUACUACAUUAGUAAGUGGUAUAAUUCUGCCAAUUGACGUUUGGAGUAAUAAUGGCGUCCAAUACUAUGUUGAAUUCAAUGAUAUAUGCCAGCCAAUUAGGAAAGGUGGACAUAUUUUGGUUAAAUUCAUUAGUAUGAUUGCAAAGAUGGAAAGCCGUUGCCCAGUUGGGGAAAAAGAUUGGCAUGCAAUCGACAAGCAUUUCAAAGGGAAGAUAAUUACAGAUAUAAGAGAACACUUUGUGAUUCCUCCUGGUGCGGAAUAUGACAACCAGGCUCUCAAGCGUGCCAAUAAAUGUUGGAUGCAAUACAAAUACUCUCUGAAACAGCAAUAUUACAAGCCAGAACAGAAGACAUUAGAUCAGAUUUGCAAUAACGUGCCACAUGGAAUUACUAGUAGUAAUUGGGUAAAGUUGGUGAAAUAUUGGGAUUCGGAUAAAGGGAAGGAUAUGUCAGAAUGCGGAAAAAAAAGCACGAGCCUCCCAAAAUCAGUUUCAUACAUCUGGAUCUGAAAGUUUUGCAAACCUACAAGCUGAUUAUGAAGAUGAACAUGGACAGAAAAUGAGCUUGUUAGAGCUGUGGAUUAAAACCCAUACGAGUAAAGAUGGAAGCUUUCUUCCUAGCACAACUGAAGAUUUUGUGGAUGAUGUUAAAGCUAAGGUUGAAGAGCUGAGGAUGAUGCACCCUAAGAUGUCUGAACAAGAGCUCGAAGAUGAAGCAUUUCAACAAACUAUGUAUGGCAAUGAGAUUCCCGAUCGUCCUGUGGGUUACAGAUUAGGGGUUAAAAAGGGGGACAUUUUUGGAGUACGUGGUGUGUUAAGGAAGGAAGGGUAUGGAAAAGUUCAAAAGAGAAUAUUGUGAUGGAUAGUGUUAAAGAAGAAGUGAAUGCUUUGCAUAAAAAAAAUGAUACACUAUCCCAAGAAAAUGAAAAGCUGAAAGACCGGGUCGGACACAACAAUCUUCUUCUUAAAGUGCUUGUUGGACAAUUUUCUCAGAUUGUAGGUGCAGUUUGUCAAGGGAAUGCAUCUCCGUAUCUUUUAAACAAAGCAUCUGAGUUCUUAGGAAAGGAAAAGCAUCAGAUUGGAAAAGGCAAUGUAGGUGCAACAAGAGAAUAUGUCGGGACACUUGAGCAUCAACAAGCGACUAUAUCUUCUAUAAGGCCAUCAUCUAUCUAUUUUGGUUUUUAGCCUUAUAUUAGUGAUGUAUUUAUUUAAGGACAAGCUACUAUAAUAUGCGACGUUUUUUUUUUUUAAUAAUUGUGUUGAUGUUUUCUUUUAUAAAUUUGUUAAUUAACUAUGUACUCUUAUUAGUGUUGAUUAAUUAUUGUUUUUUUUAAA